GACAGAGGGGUGCAAACGUUGUUCGGAAUUACUGGGCGUAAAGCGCGUGUAGGCGGCCCUGCAAGUCGGAUGUGAAAUCCCACGGCUCAACCGUGGAAGUGCAUUCGAAACUGCAGGGCUAGAGUCCUGGAGAGGAAGGUGGAAUGCUUGGUGUAGAGGUGAAAUUCGUAGAUAUCAAGCGGAACACCGGUGGCGAAGGCGGCCUUCUGGACAGUGACUGACGCUGAGACGCGAAAGCGUGGGGAG
rnacentral:rRNA from 1 species